GAACCUUACCAAGGUUUGACAUGGCCGGAAAACUCAUGGAGACAUGGGGUCCUUCGGGGCCGGUCACAGGUGGUGCAUGGCUGUCGUCAGCUCGUGUCGUGAGAUGUUGGGUUAAGUCCCGCAACGAGCGCAACCCUCGUCCAAUGUUGCCAGCGGGUAAUGCCGGGGACUCAUUGGAGACUGCCGGGGUCAACUCGGAGGAAGGUGGGGAUGACGUCAAGUCAUCAUGCCCCUUACGUCCUGGGCUGCAAACAUGCUACAAUGGCCGGUACAGAGCGCUGCGACCUCGUGAGAGGAAGCGAAUCGCGGAAAGCCGGUCUCAGUUCGGAUCGGGGUCUGCAACUCGGCCCCGUGAAGCCGGAGUCGCUAGUAAUCGCGGAUCAGCAACGCCGCGGUGAAUACGUUCCCGGGCCUUGUCACACCGA
rnacentral:rRNA from 1 species